AUUUUCUCCUUCUUCCAAUCCAACGACAGCCACCACCAUUACCACCUCCGCCGCUGCAAAUAGACUCAGAAACACCUCCACUAAUCUCACCACCAGUUCUAGCACAAUCUCCUAAAUUUCCACCAAGUCCACCACCACCACGUCCUGGACAAUCAAUUUUGAUUAACGAAUCUACGAGAAACUAAAUUCUCCAACCAAAUCUAAAGCUCAGAUCCAUUUCCUUUUCAAUUGGAUUUGUCUUUAAGAACGCAAAAUCGAUGACAACAGUUAGUUAUUCAAGAUUUGCCCGCAUCUAUUUAAGAAGAGAAGAUGAAAAUCGUUAUCUUUUAUUGGAUCUGAAAAUUUAAUUUUCCCAAACCAAUAGAAGUUAAUCACCAUCAGAUAAUCUCAAACAAUAGUCACCAUCAACAGUAGACUCGAGAAACUUAGUGGUACAACUGUACAUGUUGGAAAGGCAUGUGAACAGGGAGGAGGCAGAGAUGAUCAACCUUGCUGGCCUGAUUUGUGAAUGCAAAAUACUGUGUUUCUAAUUGGGAUGGGAUGUCAUUUAUCCUUGCAAUAUAUGUGUUCCAGUCCUCAGGACAAACUAGCAAGGGUUGAGGUGUAUUAGACGAACUUGUGGUGUAAUGGUAACACACCUGGAUCCACGUCAGAAGAUGCGUGUUCGAAUCACGUCAGGUUCACUAAUUUUAGUACAUCAAUUUUACGGAUCAAAUUUGGUUGUUGACGCCAGAUUUUGGGAUCAACUUUGGUUGUUGACCCGUUCAUUGGGACCACUUUUUUUUCUCUAUUGAUUGCGACCACUUUUAUUGUAUCUUAAUUGUUUUUCAGCAUUUUAUUUUGUUCCUUUUUUUCUUCUCUGGAUUAUGUAAUGUGCUAUUAGGUUUAGAUUUUUUUAAUAAGAUGAAGUUUCCUUCCAGGACAAGAAAUGUUUGUUCAUCUGGUGUGCUAUAUUAUCUAGUUGCUUUCUGAUUUCA